AUGCAUGAGUGACAUAGUUUUCAUGUGCAUGCUACCCAGGAGCUAUUCACGCUGUUCACGUGUAGAGUGAUUCUCACAGCAGUGUGGAUUUCAUGACGAUAAUAGAAACGCUCCUCUGGGAAACUUAGUUAUUAUAUUAAGUUAUUUGUUACCAUGGAAGCCUGAAACUGUUUUCUAUAGUGGGUUAUGAUUAUUUUAUUUAGAUAAAACUCUCAAAGGUUUUGUAUUUCAUCUUAAAUGUUUUCAAAAAGUAAAGAGGAAUCAGCAAGUCUGAAGAGUGAAGUAUUUUCCUAUUUUGAGAACUUCAACGAUUAUUACUUUAACAGUUUCUAGGAACAUCUCAAGCUGUGAGGUGUCCAGACACAAACAAACAGCGCAAGCAGAACUUUAACACUCUGGCUUAGUUUUAGAAUAGACUAUUGUUUCUUUAUUUAUUGGCUAUAUAUGUAUAGACAAAAGCUUUUUCUAUGUUACUACCAAAUCUGAAGCUUCAGGCUUUCAAAACUUUAUUUCUUUAUGACAUAUAACAAUGUAUAGUGUGUUAGUAGCUGAUUUGUAGAGUGGUAAACCAAGAAAUAUAAGUACUGUGCUUAGUUAAAUACUUCAUUAUUUGGUGAAAUUUAUAAAAACAAAAUUAGGAAUACAUUACUGCCAUUUAUUGAAGCGAAAAUUUAAAAAGUUGUGUUAGAAUAUAUUAUAUUUGAUUGUUUUACUAAUAUACUUUUUAGUUGAUUGUGUUCCAUACACUAAAUGUGACUACUAAACGAAUGUGACUACAACUUCACAUAAUCAACCAGCAGUAUAUGUGUUUUUAAUUUUUUUUUAACCAAACCCACAAGGUAUAUGACAGUUUUCAUUUUGCUUAUUUUUAUUUUCAGUUAUCACACAUUAUAAUUAUAGCCAUCGCCCAUAUAUAUGUUUGUUGUUAUAUAUCAUGCUGUAGAAUUAUUUUUUAUUUGAUUUUAGUUGGAAAUGUGUAUAAUGAAAGCAUAAAUGCUGUUCUGUAUUGAGCCAUGAAAACUAAAUUAAAGGCAUGUUAGCGUUAUAUGUGCCAUGUCAGCGUGUAAACUAUAUUACACAUUAUAGUAUAUAACACAUAUGUCAUACAUAUAACUUUCCUUAUGUCAUAAACUUAACACAAAUAUUUUCGUUUUCAUAUUUUAUGAAAAUUUCAUCAUCAUUAUAUUACAUUAAUAUUUUUUAAUUGUAAACCGACAGAACAUUUUUACAAUAUGCAUUAUCAUGUAACAUAGAGGAACAGUUUUACAUGCAGAUUAAUGUCAUGUGACAAGGUAAAUCACAUGAUUAAAGUUUUAAAUGUUAUCAUACUUUAUAUUAUCGCUUGCUGUUCACUACAUUUGCAUCAGUGAUGUUCGUUCAACUGUAAGAAAUGACUUUAAGCAUGCACAGCAUUGAAAUUAAUUAGUUAUAAUGGAACAUUUGAUGAUUAUGAUGCUGCUGCAAAGUGUCACAUGUAUUUUACCAUGUCCUGAAAAUACUGUAACAGUAUAACAUGGAAUCCCAUCCAGAAAUAUAAUGUUUUUAUAUAUGAACAUGAUAUAUAACCUAUUACAGAGCUUAAAUAAUCAAAGUAGAGACUGUUUUACUAAUGUAACAGCAAAUAAUCACUAUGCUAUGUUAAUUUAACUUGGACAGAGGUGUUGUUCUUGUUUUCUGCUGCAUUUUCAUAAAAUGGCCAAUUCUUCUUGUUAUUU